UUGUUGUAAAAUGGUGUUGCAGCUCCUUUAAGAGAGCUCAGUGCGUGUGUGUGUGUGUGUGUGUGUGUGUGGAGAGUGGG